UUCCACACUGCUGUUACCAAGGUGACGAUGCAUGGUAACUCUAAACCGGCGGUUCUCAAUCAGCGGGUCUGGGCCUGCGGUCGGGACACACACAGCCCGUCCCUACCAGGUCACAGCAUAGGACUGGACUGUACAGAGGUCAGACGUAUUGCUUUGUUGACCUAGACUGGAGGGUCACAGGAAAGUAGGGAACAUGGCUCAAAAACGUGUGGCAAUCAUUGUUCUUUAAUGUGAGGGAGUCAUUGCUCUUUAAUGUGUGGGAGUCAUUGUUUUUUAAUGUGUGGGAGUCAUUGUUUUUUAAUGUGUGGGAGUCAUUGUUCUUUAAUGUGUGGGAGUCAGUGUUCUUUAAUGUGUGGGAGUCAGUGUUCUUUAAUGUGAGGGAGUCAUUGUUCUUUAAUGUGAGGGAGUCAUUGUUCUUUAAUGUGUGGGAGUCAUUGUUCUUUAAUGUGUGGGAGUCAGUGUUCUUUAAUGUGAGGGAGUCAUUGUUCUUUAAUGUGUGGGAGUCAGUGUUCUUUAAUGUGAGGGAGUCAUUGUUCUUUAAUGUGUGGGAGUCAUUGUUCUUUAAUGUGAGUCAUUGUUCUUUAAUGUGAGUCAUUGGUCUUUAAUGUGUGGGAGUCAUUGUUCUUUAAUGUGUGGGAGUCAUUGUUCUUUAAUGUGAGUCAUUGUUCUUUAAUGUGUGGUAGUGUUCUUUAAUGUGAGUCAUUGUUCUGUAAUGUGUGGGAGUCAUUGUUCUUUAAUGUGAGUCAUUGUUCUUUAAUGUGAGUCAUUGUUAUUUAAUGUGUGGGAGUCAUUGUUCUUUAAUGUGUGGGAGUCAUUGUUCUUUAAUGUGUGGUAGUGUUCUUUAAUGUGAGUCAUUGUUCUUUAAUGUGAGUCAUUGUUCUGUAAUGUGUGGGAGUCAUUGUUCUUUAAUGUGUGGGAGUCAUUGUUCUUUAAUGUGAGUCAUUGUUCUUUAAUGUGUGGGAGUCAUUGUUCUUUAAUGUGAGUCAUUGUUCUUUAAUGUGUGGGAGUCAUUGUUCUUUAAUGUGUGGGAGUCAUUGUUCUUUAAUGUGUGGGAGUCAUUGUUCUUUAAUGUGAGGGAGUCAUUGCUCUUUAAUGUGUGGGAGUCAUUGUUCUUUAAUGUGUGGGAGUCAUUGUUCUUUAAUGUGUGGGAGUCAUUGUUCUUUAAUGUGAGUCAUUGUUCUUUAAUGUGAGGGAGUCAUUGUUCUUUAAUGUGAGUCAUUGUUCUUUAAUGUGAGGGAGUCAUUGUUCUUUAAUGGGAGUCAUUGUUCUUUAAUGUGAGUCAUUGUUCUUUAAUGUGAGGGAGUCAUUGUUCUUUAAUGGGAGUCAUUGUUCUUUAAUGUGAGUCAUUGUUCUUUAAUGUGAGGCAUUGUUCUUUAAUGUGUGGUAGUGUUCUUUAAUGUGAGUCAUUGUUCUUUAAUGUGAGUCAUUGUUCUUUAAUGUGAGUCAUUGUUCUUUAAUGUGAGUCAUUGUUCUUUAAUGUGAGUCAUUGUUCUUUA
ensembl:lncRNA